rnacentral:tRNA from 1 species
AAAAUCCGUUGGUUCCACGGGACCGUGAGGGUUCAACUCCCUCUAUCCCCA